rnacentral:rRNA from 1 species
AUGGCUUGGUCUCAAGGUAUAGAUACCACCAGAAGCUUGGAAAGAAGCAACGGAGGCCCCUCGACAUAUGUUGCAACGUCUUCAAUAGCAUGCUCUUACUUCGUCUUUCCCUUAAUAAGUCAUCAAAUUUGGUGCUUUUCGAUCCCCAGUUGCUAUGGGGAACAAAGGCAGAAAUACAAUAGAAUCCUCCAUUUAAGUGGUUCUUGCUUCUCCUUGUUCCUGCUCCUAACUCCUCCCCGGGUAGUUCCCAACGUUUGGCACUUUCCAUACUUCGUGGGUGCAACAUCAACAAAUUCGCUCAUGAUCAAGUUACAACCUAAGAUCUAUGACUAUAUUAUGUUAACUGUUCGUAUUUUGUUCAUUCCAUCGGUAUGCUCCCAGGUACCUAUAAUUGUGAUCUGUUUGCCAGAACCAAGGGGUUUUUCUGUGGAAACCUUCACGAGCAAUCAUUUUUUGAUGGUUUUUCCGCUUUUCACAGCUGCUCUUUCCACACCCCCGGAUAUCUGGUGCCAAACCGUCGCCCCUUUCCUUAUAUAUUCGAUAAUCGAGUUUGCUAUCUUUGUGGCAUUGAUUGUACAAGUUCUUCAAGAGGGAUGGAUGAGUAGAAUGAGGGAAAGCGGCUCGAUCGAGAAAAAAGAGGAGUAG